rnacentral:tRNA from 1 species
UCGGCGUCCAGGGAAUGGUGGACGGCCACGGCGUCCUCGCGGGACGCCCGCAGCUGCUCGCCGAGUGGUCGCAGCACCUGACGCCCGACC